rnacentral:rRNA from 1 species
AACAGGAUUAGAUACCCUGGUAGUCCACGCCGUAAACGAUGCUAACUCGUUUUUGGGUUUUCGGAUUCAGAGACUAAGCGAAAGUGAUAAGUUAGCCACCUGGGGAGUACGUUCGCAAGAAUGAAACUCAAAGGAAUUGACGGGGGCCCGCACAAGCGGUGGAUUAUGUGGUUUAAUUCGAUGAUACGCGAGGAACCUUACCAAGGCUUAAAUGGGAAUUGAUCGGUUUAGAAAUAGACCUUCCUUCGGGCAAUUUUCAAGGUGCUGCAUGGUUGUCGUCAGCUCGUGCCGUGAGGUGUUAGGUUAAGUCCUGCAACGAGCGCAACCCCUGUUACUAGUUGCUACCAUUAAGUUGAGGACUCUAGUAAGACUGCCUACGCAAGUAGAGAGGAAGGUGGGGAUGACGUCAAAUCAUCACGGCCCUUACGCCUUGGGCCACACACGUAGUACAAUGGCAGGUACAGAGGGCAGCUACACAGCGAUGUGAUGCGAAUCUCGAAAGCCUGUCUCAGUUCGGAUUGGAGUCUGCAACUCGACUCUAUGAAGCUGGAAUCGCUAGUAAUCGCGCAUCAGCCAUGGCGCGGUGAAUACGUUCCCGGGCCUUGUACACACCGCCCGUCAAGCCAUGGAAGUCUGGGGUACCUGAAGUCGGUGACCGUAAAAGGAGCUGCCUAGGGUAAAACAGGUAACUAGGGCUAAGUCGUAACAAGGUA